UAUGGAUUUUUCUACUUUUUUUCUUUUUUUUUUGCAAGAAAAGAUGGUAGACGAUUACAUCGGUGUCUUUUGAGAAGCGAAGUAGGGAGCGGCACGAUUCAUCGACUAUUUCUGAAUACUUACGACUGCAAGAAGGCUCUUAGAAAAAAGUCGUUUGCAUAUUUUUUCACUUAGGCGACUUCAUCAAGCGGUGGUCAUUAAGCGGUGCAAUUUUAUCGCCUAGCAGGAGACGCAUGCAACGCGAGAAGACACGCCGUACACGGGAAAUCACAGUGUUUGAAUUAAUCGACCAUAUCGUGCCAGUCUAUCGUUCCAUUUUCUCAAUCAGGAAAAUCGAUAUCUUUUUUUUAAUUCUUAUUACCUUCCGCUAAAAAAUUUCACAAAAGUUACAUGUAAUAAGUACAAUUGAAAAAUAAAUAACAAAUUAGGAACGUAGUAAAAUCCUCAUUAAUCUUAUUCAAUUUCGACAUGACAUAUAUAUACGUAUUAAUAUAUAUAUAUGUAUUGAUCUUUACCCUUGAAUCUCUAAAAUCUAAUAUUAAUGAUCGAUAGAAAAAACGAAUCGACCUUUCUGGAAAAUACGCAGAAACACAAAACGCCUGGACAAACGAUCGAGGCAGAAAUUUCCUUCAUUAUUAUCUCUUACGCCACGAGUAAAAAGAUACUUCAAAGCACGAGAUUUCUACGUAUUACACCGACUAAUAACGCGUUUGUGCGUCGAUGCGCGAUUGCCAGCGAUUAGCAAGAUCGAUCGUGUAAUUUCACGAUCAAUGACGUAACCACGAUUACUCAACGUCCAUGACGAGUGUGUGUUUAGAACGUGAAUGUGGAUCAAAGUCACCAGCAGCGGCGGCGGCUAAGUAGUCCAUGAACUUCCUCGCGGCUCGACUCGUGAAUGGAAUUCGAGAAAAAAAUAUGGCAGCGUUGACAGAACGCCUGAAAGAAAAGAAAAAGGGAACCGAAGGGAAACGUGAUCAUUUGACUGAAGAGAGAGAAAGAGAGAACUAAAGGAGUUGGAGAUUAGAAUAAGGAUGGAGAAGGAAACGUUUAAAAUUGGUAAGAUCGAAGAUGUGGAAUAUAAUUUUGUAGAUUAAAUUCGUAAUAUUUCUAUAUUUAUCUCGUUUCAAAUUUCUACGCCUCGAGUAAGUAGAAUUCGUGAGAAUUUAAAUCUCGGUUAUUUAAAGAGCGGGUAGAAUUGGCGAUAUUCCAUUUCGCAUUCGAAUCUACACGGAGCGAGAAUGACGAGGUGAGAAACGGUCGAGAUAACGCGGCAAAGAAAAAUCUGUUUCCAAGUAAAAUUCCACUUGCAACUUGUCGUUCAUUCAGAGUGAUGUCUAAUUAAACGAGAGGGUUCUCGGGGCGCACGGUUGAACGCGAUUCCGAGUGUUUUCUCCUUCGAGACAAGAAACGUUCCAUUGCGGUAACCUCGUGGAUACGCGUUUAGAACGACGUCGCACAAAGUAUCCGGCAAAGUAUCGGGGCAAAAACUAUAAUUGCUGCGUUAUCCGCUAUAAUAAUGUUUAAUCGUCAGAGAAGGGCAACCCGUGGCAAUCUCUGUCGUACACUUUACGCGAUAUUAAUUUUCGAUUAACCUGUUCCACCAUCCUUCUCCCUGCUGCGAUCAUCCUACGCGCCACUCGAUCUUUCGUCCACUCUAACGAGUCGUUCUCUUUCCUUCGAGAAAUUAACAUCCGUAUAUAUAUAUAUAUAUAUAUCGACCAAUAUCUCCUUUUACUUUUACUUUGUUUUUCUUCCACCUUGGAAGUUGUAAAAAAAAGAAAACAUAUCGUCAACAAGAGAGAAAGCUUUGCAUAAUGAACGAUCUGAAGAAAAUUGUGUCUAUCUCGUAUAUCGCGAAUGUUAGGAUUUUUAAAAUCUUCUCUUCUUCGCUCCCUUCACCACCCUUUAAAACUAUUUUCCUAAAGAGAAAUCUGUAUCGAAAGGUUUCAUCACACCUGUACUGUGUUGUCGCAGGCAAAAAGCGGCGCGACUAAAAAGCAGCGCGCUCACUUAGCAAACUCUUUAUCGAAAGAAUCUUUCUCACGGUUCAGUUGAAACGAUAAUUCUCUCGGACUUGGAUGAAUUUCAUGGGGGGAUAGACGGAUAGAUCCGAUCCAGGGGGAACGCCUACGAUCGAACGAGCCGAUUCACGGGGCCCCGAUGUUCCGGUUAACGAUCAUUGGACGCGAUACAAAUAAAAUUUGCGAUGGUGAGCGGAUUUUCUUCGACCAAGCCGGAAGACAAUCCGAUCCUCGGAGUAAAAUUGCUUCUUCCUUUCAUGGUGUUCGUUCUAUUCUCGAUCGAGGUCGAUUAUCCUCGUACACGAGGAGUGGCGUGUAACGAGAAUGACGAGGUAAUUGCUGAUUAACGAGCGUCGAUAACGAGAAUCGAAGGUGCAACAGGAACCGGGCAAAUCUCGCGGUGAUAAUAACGUUUCACGUGGUGAGAAACUUUUCCUUUUCGAGAUGGAAAUCCUUUGUUUCCCCGUGCAAAUAAAACUCCAGAUUUUCGCGCCUUCUUCCUCCUCUCCUAUGCGAUAUCCUCGUUGGAUCGAAAAAAAUAAAAAUGGAUCCUUUAUUAAAAAGUCAUUUAUUCGAAUGAUUGGAAUCUUGAUUGAAUCGAAAGGAGAAUAACGAUAUCGAUUUUGCGAUCAGACGAGAAGAAGUUUAUCUUUUCGAAAAGCUGGAUCCUUUGUUUAUAUUUAGAAAUAAAAAUUUGCACGUUUCGACGAAUGUUAUUCCGAAAGAAGAAUAAAUAGCAGGAACAAUUGUGAUUAAAAGCAAAGGAAUCGACGAUUCUUGAAAGAUAUAAAUUUUAAUAAUGGUACAGAUUCUGAAUAAAAGGAAGAAGGAGAGAUCUGUGAUAAUUUGGAAUAAAAGGGAGGAAAACGGUAGUCCCGAGGCGAGUUAAAGCGGGUCUAACUGCGAUCCCGAUUUUCCUUUUCUCUUCGAAAAAGAUUUCCAAAAGUGCAAAAAUGAGUUUCAAGAAUUUAUAAUGGAAACAAGCACGUUUCAAGAGUCAAGCAAAGGGAGCAAAAAAUUAGAAUCAUAAAUUUUAAAAAGGGGUAAAAGCCAGUAUGAUGUAAGAGCGAAAAAAAAGUGAAGAAGAUCAGGGAGGUGUACGGAGCCCGGUUCACCGACAACAAUGAGGAUUAUGAGCGAUAAUGACGAAUAUUUAUGAGUUUACGAUCUGAUGACUUUACGACUCGAGAUUUUACCACUUACACGCGAAGGACGUCCCAUUUCGAGAGAAAAUGGCCCUGACGUCCCGUCUGUCACGUGCUGCUUACCUACAACCGGAGCAUCUUGUUCCCUCUCGUAGACGUCAGAGAGAGGAUAGAAAAUCCAAAUCUUUUUCUAUCUAAAUAUCAGAUAUGAGAUAUUCUUUUAUUUUCUUUUUAAUGUUAUUUGAAUUCGGAGCAAUUCCAAAUUGCAAUCAAAAUUAAUAUCCAAUUCGUUACGAUGGAAAAUUGUUUCCCCAAAUUAAUUUCUUCAACUUCUUUCGUUGCAUUUUGUUGUUGUUUCUAAAGAAGAAAUUCAUCGUGUAAUUCAUUAAUUAAUAUCACGGUGAUCGCGGCUUUAUAAAAGGUUUUUCGAAUCGAAUAGCCAAACCAAUAGUAAAAAGAUUUCAUCGAAUCGAUGGCGCGAAACGAAUCCGAGAACACGAUGUAUUUCGAAACUUCUCGUUCUUUAUUUUGACUACGUUAAAAAUAAACGAAAAAUAUAAUUUCUCGCGUCGAUUUAUCGAUUUGUGCUAUUUUAAUUUCUCAUCGUUAUUUCAAACAAAAUAUCCUCCACUUUGAACACUCGCUUCACAGCCAAGCGAUAUAAAUCUCGAGUGAAUUCCACGAAAUUUAUCCAUCCAACGUACAAAAGAUCCAAUUUUAACGCAAUAAAAAUCAUCGACUCGUACUACUUAAAAUUCUCUUUGAACUAUUUGGAACAAAAUUAAAAAUCCUUUAAAUGAAACACCUUUAAUAAGGUGUUUUGUUUCACAGCCAAGCAAUAUAUGAAUUAUAUCUCGAGUGAAUUCCACGAAAUUUAUCUCCAUCGAUUGGAAACAUCCAAUUUUAACAUUAAUAAAAUUAUCGACUCGUGCUACUUAAAAUUCCCUUUGAACUAUUUGGAACAAAAUUAAAAAUCUUUUAAACGAAACACCUUUAAAAACAACUUGCUUCACAGUCGAGCAAUAUAAAUUCGGAUGAAUUCCAUAGAUUCAAUAUUUAAAAAAUUCAAUUUUACAUAACAAAAUCAUUAUUUAAAAUCCUCUUCGAACUAUUUGGAACAAAAUUAAAAAUCCUUAAAAAGGAAAUACCUUUAACAACUUGCUUCACAAGUAAUAUAAAUUACAAUUCUCGAAUGAAUUCCAUCGAUUCAACACCCAAAAAAUUCAAUUUUAACGAAAUCGUUGGUCUCGCGCUACUUAAAAUCCCCUUCGACCUAUUUGAAACGAAAUUGAACGUUGCUCCAGUUUAAAGAUAAACGAAACUUCAUCAAAACACCUUUAACGACUUGCUUCACAGCCAACCAAUAAUAAAUUACAUCUCGAAUGAAUUCCGCGAAAUUUAUCUAUCUCCAUCGAGGUCCAACAUCCGUAAGCUCCAAUUUUAACGCGAAUAAUCUACGUCAUAACUCUUCCACGUGACUAGGCUUCGCGUAAUGGUUUUGCGAGCGAGCCAGCCACGAGGAAUUUAGGAAAUAGGCCUGCAAGCUCUCCCGAUUAUCGACGAGGUCGGACUUCUCGUAAUAACGUAAUAAUGCGUUAAAAGGCGUCGAAUUUCUCAAGCUUUGAAUGAUCAGAGUCGUAUAUCAGGAAUGAUGAGUUUACUGUCAGCCUAGUAUAACCAUUAUGCCUUCGUCCUUCUUAGCGAAUUGUUUUCGCACAAUAUCCGAUUCGAAUCAGAUUUACGAUUGGACCUGGAACAACCGACCUGCUCAACGAAGUGACAGCGCUUCCUUCCUCCCUCGCUUUCCGUUUCGUCUCGAUCUUGCGAGAGGAAAACGUUUGCACGUUUCACUGGCGUAGAAAUCUUGAGGAUGUUCGACAAUUAGGAUUGGAAUUUGGUGGAAAAUUUUGGUGGCGAGAAGAAUAAAAUUGGAUGAUGCGGAAUUAAAGCCGUGAAGAGAGAAGAGGAAAGAAACGUCGAAGAUAUCGUCGUUUGGUGGAAAGGAAUAAUAAAAAGAGAAAAAUUGAAUUCUGUCGCAAUUAGAAGUCGAUGGAAAAUUUCGUGAUGAGAGGACUAAAAUGGGACGAUGCGGAAUUAGAACCGUGAAGAGAGAAGAGGAAAGAAACGUCGAAGAUAUCGUCAUUUGGUGAAAAGGAAUGAUAAAAAGAGAAAAAUUGAAUUCUGUCGCAAUUAGAAGUCGAUGGAAAAUUUCGUGUUGAAAGGACUAAAAUGGGAUGAUGCGGAAUUAGAACCGUGAAGAAAGAAAAGGAAAGAAACGUUGAAGAUAUUCGUCGAUUGGGAUUAACGUUUGGUGGAAAGGGAUGAAAUUUUGAUGGAAAAUUUCGUGGCGAGAGGAAUAAAAUUAGAUGAUGCGGAAUUAGAGCCAUGAAGAGAGAAGAGAAAUGUUGAAGAUAUUCGUCGAUUAACGUUCGGGGAGGGAUGGAUACGAGAAAAAUUAAAUUUUGUUACAGGGAUGCGAGAAUAGAAUUAUAAAAGCAACAAUGAUUUUUCAUAAAAGAAGAAAAUAAUUGUCGAUGGAAUACUUUGAAAAUUAGAACUGGAGAGGAUUGAUCGAGGGUAAUAUUCGAAAGGGUUCUUGCUAUAUAAAUAACAUAUUUUAAAGGGAUGGUUUCUUCGAAAGAAUCUUAAGAAAUUCUUUGAAACCUGACGAGGACUACAAAGGAAUCGAUCGAAAAAUUCAAAUAUCCUUUACAAAAUUGUUUCCGAAACAAUUUUGUUACGCCAUUGCGCGAUGAAAGAGGAAGACUUGAAUAAUUUUCUAAACGAUCGGUCCGUGACGGGAAGUGUAACCAAAAGUAAGGCUUUAACGCGGUCUGCUCUUGCCUUCUACCAACAAAGUUCCAGGAGCUUGAACCGAGUUGAGAAAUUUUCCGUGUUACAAGACAUCCUGCUGGCCGGCCGUCAACAUCCUUGACGGGGUUGCUUUCAGCAUGUCCUGGUGGGAGCCGGGAAAAAAGCGAAGGGCCGCUGCUGUGAUGUUGAUACGACCAAAGUUUCCUCUUCAUCUUCUUUAUCGAAACGGUAAACUGUUUCCACCGAUCGAUCAAGUUUCCCUUCAAAUAGAAUUUAUCUCAUUUACAUCAAAAAAAAAAAAAAAAAACGAAGAA